AUAAAAAAAAAACAUAAAUAUAUUGCCUGGAAGUUAGUAAGGAAUUGAAAUAAAUACUAAAUAAAAUUGUAUUUUAAGCCUGCAUUUAUAAAGCUGGAGCUCCUCUCAUCAAACUUGAUGAAUUAGGAACAAAAAUACAGAACUAAAGUUAUAGUCAAACUGACUUAAUUAAUUUUAGUCUGUUUUCAUUAAGACACCUGAGAUGCUUUGAUGAGCUCGAUAGCUCAGUGUGAAAAACAGCUGAUCCCAGGCUUUUCUCUACAUUCAGUCUGUUCCUCGGCUUGUUUUUGAUGUGCGUCAAAGCUGAAGGUGUACUCAAACAUAUAAGAAAACUUGCUUUUUGGUUGAUAAAAGCUUUUUAUAAUUUUUCCGUUGGGUCAUCAAAAAGCAAAACAGAUCCCAGCCCUCUUUUAUUUUACCGCCUAAGAAAUUUUAUUAGUUUCAUGUACUCCUUCUAAUGCACUCGCUGGCCACUAGGGGUAUGAGUACCCCUGUUUGAAAAUCCCUGCCUUAGACCAUUUCUAGAUACUGCACCUUCUGAAAAAAAUCCAAGUUUGAGUUUGAGCUGAUUUUCUGAUGUUUCUAACUUUACCUUUUAUCCUUUUGACAAUAAGUUCUGCUUGCUGCAUUUUUACUUUCUAAAAUUAUCUCUUUGUAAUGUUGGGCAAAGUUGCUGUUCAACUUUUCUCUAUAGGGUGAGGCACAUGACUUUAACAAUCCCACAAUUUAUAAAACAAUUUAAUACCUA